AGAGGUUGAGACGCGCUCGGCCGCGCCCGUUGUCCAGCUCGCCCUGCGUCAGGACGCCCAGCAGGGUGGACUUCCCAGAGUCCACGUUGCCCAGCACUGCCACCCGCAGGUCCAGGAACUGUCCCGGUCCAAAGCAGCAAGCGUCUUCAGUGAGGCCCUCAUGUCGGCCUCCGUCAGGCCGACCAGCAGGCCGUUGUCUUCCACCCCGAUCUGGUAGACGGCCUCGCCGCGGCCCUCCUGCAGUCGCCACUUCAGCUGCGUGGCCAGAUGCUCGAAGCGAUACUGGGUGGGGUUAACCAGCUUCAGCUACAACGACACAGCAGACAAACGCAUUUAAACGGAGGUGAUGGACAAAACCAAUUAUCUGAAAAAGCAGACGAUAAUGGAAGCAGUGAAAAGUUCUGUACCAUGCUCAACUUCUACUGACUAACCAAAAAACCUGAGUCUGAAUGUAUAUAGACAUACAGUGUGUAAGUAUGUUCAUAAGUUGGUUUGUUGUGAGUUAGAGGUGUGGCUGCCAGAGAAAACUUCACUUCUCUGAGUGUUCAUUAGUUCAUUUAUAUACGACAAAUAGUGACAAGAUAUAAACCAUGAUCCAUCCUCCCAAAACAAGGAAGAGUUGAAUUACCCAGUUAACAAUGAUUCAUUUAGGGUCACACACCUUAUAUUCUAUGUUUCCCUCUUCAGCCUGUGAACAGACAAACAGAGUCAGCUGUUAUGUGACAUGGUUACAGAAAACAGAGCAGACAGCUUCACCAGGUCCCGUGUUUGCGCUCAGUGGUUCAGAUGUUCACGCCUCUUCACUUAGCAGAAUGUCUGGACGCAAACCGGGUCAUAAAUGUGUAGCAACGCAACUGUAACAUGUUAUUACGUGUUAUAACGUGUUGGCGUCGCCUAACAGUCUGUCCUAGCACCGCUAGCAGCUAGCAGCUAACAGCUAGCAGGGCUCCGUUAAUCUACCUCCGGUGGUAAAUACGGCGGCGGCGGCCUGUUCUUGUUGUUCUUUUUGUUUCUCCGUCUCCUGCCUCGUUUUCCUCGUCUCGUUCGUGACUUUUUCGGUGUCUUCUUCGCGUUGUUCCCGGAGCCUGGUCCGUGGCGGCUGUGUCCGGGCGACACUGCGCCACUUUGGGACAAAUCCACCAUCACUGAAGCUGAAGCGUGAUUUUAUCUGAAGAAACGUGAACUAACCGAGAAGAACUGACGUGUAACAGCUGCUUCCUUCCUUCUAAGUCAACACGGACCGCCUACGGCCGCCUGCGCGCACAGACGCGGCCGAGGAUGCUCUCUCCUCAGCAUCCUCACCGUAAAGUCUGAGGCACUGGCUGAGAUCCGGCUUCCGCCCGGUUUUUCAAAAUAACACGAGUGCAAAAACAGGAAAUGCCACAGGAAACAUCAAAAAUAAACUGGAAGAGCAGAGACACAAGCGCAACAAAAUUCAGUGUCAUGCUGACUGUUAAACAUGUUUGGCUGUAUUUCCAAAGUCGUUAAAAGCUGCUCUAAUAUUUAGAGGAUCUUGAUUUUAUUUACCAUUUGCUGUAUUUCUCUGCUCAAUCUAUGUUAAAUAAAACGCUCCAAACAUUCAUUCCUUACACAUUA